GGAAUAACAAUGUACUUCUCAUACUGAAUGCAACACAGGCUGAUAGUGGCUGUUACUCCUGCAAAGUUACCAAUGAAGUUAGUGAGAAUGAAACUUCCCUGGAAUUGACCAUCAGUGAUUCUUCAGCUGUGGUUUCAAACGGAGUAAUUUUGGGAGUUGCUGUCAUAACUUCUGUUGUAAGUCUAGUAAUAGCAGAUGGGGACUUAUACAAUGAAUAAAAACUCUGCCGUGCCUUCAUCUGGAUGAAGAAACAAUCCCAAUUUUAAAAAGAGACAUAAUGGAACAGAAAGUGAAUUAUAGAGUUUGCGUCUGUCCAGCAACAACCACUUCAUCAGGCUUAAGACAGUCAUCAGACCUCUUACAAAUCAUAAAUUACAAAUCAGUGUUCUAUGUCAGAAAAUGCAUCUGAAACUGUCCAUCUUGUGGUUUUUGGUUCUUUGACACAAAGUUGCCAAUUGCCCAUCCAUGAACAAUACCAGCACUCAGAACUAUUUUUAGAAAAUGCCUGCCCAGGAAAGGGGAGAGAGAGAGUUGCAAUUGCACAAUGACAUCUGAAAAUGAUAACUUAGCAUUUCGAGUUAUGUAGAAAUAGAUUGAGUCUACUUUUAAACAAACAAGCAACAAAAUGCACAAAACAAUAGACCUAUAAGGGAGUGUUUAAAGGACAGGUUGUUUCCUAUACAGCAAGGGUGUCAAACUCAUAUUGGGGAGAGAACUAAAGUCUAUUUUUAGUUUUGGUCUAUGAAGCAGGGUAUAAAUACAGAUCUCUAUGCAGUACGUCUCUGGAUCCAUAGUAGGAACUUCCCUUAUGUUAAUAGUAAGUCUGCCUAAAGGUCAAAGAUAAAUAUGGCUCUUAGUAAAUGUCAGUGUCUUAUUGUUGAAUUCACUCCGUAGAAAAAUAUGCUAACUUUUCAGACCAUGGCUAUUUUUGCUUUUGUUCCUCCUCCUUCUCUGUCCUUCUUUCCCUGUCUUUAUGGCUUGUUUACAUGGAAAAAUUGACCAGAAUAAUUACUGUAGCAUAAACUUUUCUGCAAUAGCUCCUCAUGUGGACACUACUCUGGAAUUCAUUAUGGAAUAAUUAGUGCGAUUUGAGCAUGUAAAUCAUGUUAUUCCAGAAUAAUUAUAUCCCAGAAUAGUGUCUACCUCAGGAGCUAUUCUGGUCUGUUUCCCUAAGCCUCUCCUUUCCUUCCUGCAGCAUCUCCCAAUUUCCCUCUUGUGGGCUUGACUCCCAAUUCUUUCACCAUCCAAUCUGUUAAACUGAGCAGUGAUGAAAUAGUUGUCAAUGAAAUGCUAUAACACUGACAGAAGCAGUGUGUAUGCCCACUGUAACGCAAGCAUAUCUCUCUCACCAACAGAAGUUGGUCUAAUAAAAGAUAUU